rnacentral:tRNA from 1 species
GGUGCUGUGGCUCAGUGGUGGAGUAUCUGCUUAGCAUACAGGAAGUCCCCAGUUCAAGCCCUGCCAUCGCCA